rnacentral:misc_RNA from 1 species
AAGGAUCAUUAACGAAUAACUAUGGUGUCUUGGUUGUAGCUGGCUCCUCGGAGCAUUGUGCACGCCCGCCAUUUUUAUCUAUCCACCUGUGCACCGACUGUAGGUCUGGAUGACUCUCGUGCUCUCUGAGUGCGGAUGCGAGGAUUGCCCUUCAACUCGGAGGUGUCUCUCCUCGAAUUUCCAGGCUCUACGUCUUUUUACACACCCCAAAAGCAUGAUAUAGAAUGUAGUCAAUGGGCUUGAUCGCCUAUAAAACACUAUACAACUUUCAGCAACGGAUCUCUUGGCUCUC